ACCUACUUGACUGAGCGGUUAGAGUAUCGCCUUCAUACGGCGAGAGUCAUUGGUUCAAAUCCAAUAGUAGGUA
rnacentral:tRNA from 1 species